UUACCAGGAUGAUCCCUGAGUAAUGUACAGCAUUGUUGAAUCCAGAUAUAUGCGCCCAAAUCAAAUAUAGCACUGUAUGUUAACUAUACCAGAAUUGCAACAGUUACAAAAAUAAUUUAUUUUGCUGAACCACCCUUUAUUAUAAUACCACAUUGGAUUAUGAUUUUGACAUUGUUGUCAUGAGGUAUACUUUUAUCAAAAAUAGUGUUUCUAUAUCAAAUUUAAUUUUCUUUAUCCCUCUUCUAGGUAGAAUCGAGUAUAUGAAGGUUCACCACUCCCUUAAUGAAGUUGAUACCAGCAAAGUGAAAUCGAAGUCUGAAAAACAGCCACUGCAGAAAGAAAAUGCUCAGCUUAAGAUCCAAAAGAAUCAGGCAGAAAAAGGGAACUGGGGGACAACUGUGAUGCACUUAGGUGUGUGAAAGGGGCAAAGGACGCCAAAUGGGACACGCUGAAGAAGAAUGUAGAUGUUCGUGAUGGAAUGUGUGGACAAAGACAGAAGCUCACAGAAGAGAAGCUGGGACUGAAAGAAUGGGAGCAGUGGAAGGGGAGAAGCAGCUGUCAGCCACAGAGGGGAAAGGGAAAUUAGCUGCAGAAGAACAUUGGAACUACAAGUGAGUUCAGCUCCUACCAGCAGCUCACACGAUGGCCAUUGUAUUACUUUGAAACUUUGUACAGCGUUUAGAGUCAAGUAGCAUACAAAUAUACCCAAACAAUCAGGAGACAUUCGUUUCUAUAGGGACUUCAAAAGAGAUGUAACAUUUUCCAGAUGUUAAGUUAAAACUAUUAAUCUAAACAAGUUAAGUAACUAAAGAUUUCCUGAUC